CAGCCGCCGCGGUAAUACCGGCGGCCCGAGUGGCGGUCACUAUUAUUGGGCUUAAAGCGUCCGUAGCCGGGGUGGGAAGUCCUCCGGGAAAUCUGGCCGCUUAAAGGUCAGAAUGCCGGAGGAUACUCCCAGCCUAGGGAGCGGGAGAGGCCGAGGGUAUUCCCGGGGUAGGGGUGAAAUCCUAUAAUCCCGGGAGGACCACCUGUGGCGAAGGCGCUCGGCUGGAACGCGUCCGACGGUGAGGGACGAAGGCCAGGGGAGCAAACCGGAUUAGAUACCCGGGUAGUCCUGGCUGUAAACGAUGCGGACUUUGUGUCGGUCAAGCUAUGAGCUUGUCCGGUGCCGGAGGGAAACCGUUAAGUCCGCCGCCUGGGGAGUACGGCCGCAAGGCUGAAACUUAAAGGAAUUGGCGGG
rnacentral:rRNA from 1 species